rnacentral:rRNA from 1 species
UAAUACGUAGGGAGCGAGCGUUGUCCGGAUUCAUUGGGCGUAAAGCGCGCGUAGGCGGUUUCGUAAGUCGGGUGUGAAAACUCCAAGCUCAACUUGGAGCCUGCAUCCGAAACUGCGGUGACUAGAGUCAGGUAGGGGAACACGGAAUUCCAGGUGUAGCGGUGAAAUGCUUAGAUAUCUGGAGGAACACCAGUGGCGAAGGCGGUGUUCUGGGCCUGUACUGACGCUGAUGCGCGAAAGCGUGGGGAGCGAACAGGAUUAGAUACCCUGGUAGUCCACGCCGUAAACGUUGCACACUAGGUGUGGGGACCUAUCGACGGUUUCCGUGCCGUAGCUAACGCAUUAAGUGUGCCGCCUGGGGAGUACGGUCGCAAGACUA